rnacentral:rRNA from 1 species
GACGAACGCUGGCGGCGUGGAUUAGGCAUGCAAGUCGAACGGUAUCAUCCUUUCGGGGGUGAGAGAGUGGCGAACUGGUGAGUAACACGUAGGUUAUCUACCCUCAAGACGGGGACAACCCAGGGAAACUUGGGCUAAUACCGGAUGUGAGCAACUUUUAGUUGUUUGAAAGGUGGCGUAAGCUGUCGCUUGGGGAUGAGCCUGCGUCCUAUUAGUUAGUUGGUGAGGUAACGGCUCACCUAGGCAAUGAUAGGUAGGCGGCCUUAACGGGUGGUCGCCCACACUGGGAUUGAGAUAUGGCCCAGACUCCUACGGGAGGCAGCAGUCGAGAAUAGUCUACAAUGGUCGGAAGACUGAUAGUGCGACGCCGCGUGAACGAUGAAUCCCUUCGGGGUGUAAAGUUCUUUUAUAUGUGAGCAGUGCUUCUUAUAUUAACAGUAUGGGGAGAGAGAUAUUAGCAUAUGAAUAAGCAACGGCUAACUCCGUGCCAGCAGCCGCGGUAAAACG